UUGGGGGUUUAUCACAGCAUCUUGGCAGUUGGGAGGGUUUCUGUGGGGGCAGGUGAGAACCCAGGAAAAAAGAAUGCUGGACAAAUGUGAGGGAGCUGGGCAGCUGAGAGGAGGCAGCUAGAGAGCUGGAGAAGCCAGAGGAGCCUGCGACAAGACAUGUGAGGAAUGAAGACCAGAGGGGAAGGCAGAGAUGAAGCCAAACUCUAUUCCCCUGCCUUUUUGAAACUUUUUCUGUGCAACUUUGACUUGGAAAACAAAAUCAGCGUGGCUCGGCUCCUUGUGGAAUUAAAGGCGGGUGGAUUUAGCCAAGAGCAUGAAGAAGCCAUACAAGCACAUUUUUAACCUGUUUACCACUGUUUGUUUUUCUACACAAGUCUGUCAUCUCUUAUCUAGUGGAUGAUUUCAAAACCAUCUGAGUAGUAUACCCUACAUAUCAGGUAUUGUAGAUUAUAGGAGUCAUCUAUACCCCCACUCCAAGCAUGCUCUUGCUCCUAUUAAUGCUCAUGCACUUCUGCCAUGGGGAUUGUAACUACCCUCCAAUGACUCUUAAGACUUAUUAUUUAUCUUUAAUUUAGACUCUCUUUAAAGCACAUUUGCAUUUAGAGUUAUUCUGAGGCUUUAUCAUUGCUUGGCUUGGCUGAAGCAUUUCUAAGCAACAAUCAUGAAUCAAUUGUGAAGCUGUAUGAUUGUAUCACUAUUAAUUUAUAAAACUGAUGUCCGCAUUUGCAUUAUAGUGUGCUACUGAUCUUUUGUCUACGAUAAAUAUCUCUGCCAUUGCAUGCAACAUGGCAGCAAUCAUUCUUGAAUAAACAGAAAUGCAUAUUGUAUAAAUGGGGCAUAUUUUAACUUAAAGCACAAACCAGUGGCACCCCUCAUCUGCACAUAUGAAAAAAAUAUGAUGUGCACUAAAAAAGCAAUUUACUGUAGAUUUUUAUUUAGGCGCUUACUAAGACCUACUUCAGACUAAUUUCGAAAUUAAGUGUGCUUCAAUUUGGCAAAGCAAAAUAUUAUUGGACUGUUCCCUGUACUAAUUAUGAUGUGGUUUAUCUGGAGACUGUGUUAUCUCUGUCUCUCUUGAACAGGUGGCCAUUUAGUGUUUGAUCAUUUUUAUAUCUAUAACUAUUAUCAUAACACAAAGAGGGGGGAAAUGGCUAUACACAUAAUGAAAAACUAAGAGUCUAGGCUUGCACUAGGAGGUGUCGGUGUGUUUGUAUGGCUGCGCAUAAAUGCAUACAGGUGAGGUUCCGGAGACCAGUUGCUAUUGGGAUCUUGGAAGCAGUAUCUGGCAGAUCCUGAUGAUAUGGACGUUUAAUGUUGGCUUUUCCAGUUUGGUUUUAUUGAAAUACACAGAGCCAAGUGUUGGUUCUUUUAGAUAAGUACAUUUUGAACCUCCAAAUCCCAGAUAGGUUGUAAGGCUGCAGCUCUCAGCUUGCGUUUUUUCUUUAUUCAGAGAGAAGCAGAUUUGCUACCUUCCUUAUCUGCAUUGAAAAGUACAGCUUCUGCUUCAGUGCAGGUAAAUGCGUAAGCGAUCGCAUUAAAUUCUCUCCACCUGCAGAAAAAAGCAAACUGAGAGCAGAGGAACCAACACUCCGUGUGCCUGCAGCCUACGAGAGGCCACUUAAUAUAAAUCACAAGUUCAUAAAUUAAAUUAUUUUUAAUUGUUAGAUAAAGGGAAGUCGACAUUCAACAAAACAAAAAAGCCCAAUGUAUUUAAGAGCUUAGAGCCCAACAGUAAGUGAGAAUAAUCAGUGGAAAAAUGGACGCUUGUAAUAUAUGUAAUGUAUUUUCGUGCGUUUUUUGUUUGAGGAGCAAGAAAUAUUCUAAAUAAAAGAUAGGCCCAGUUUUGGAAGUGGAAAGAUUAUUGUAAAUUGAGUUUGUGAAAAUGACACAACAAAAAGGCAGGCAGAUUGUGCUGCACAGUGACAGAAGUUUGGGGUAACUAGCUAUUAUAAGGCACAACCAUCUAAGCAUGCUAAAUUUAUAAUUUACAGAACAAUCGAUAAGGCUUUUAACAGAAGCCAAAGCAGGUAUUUUUAUUUUGGAAAUAAACUCAAUCAGC